CGUGUGUGACAAGUGCGACUUUAACGUCCAGACAACCGUCCUUCUGAGGGACUCCGAGUCCAACGAGCCGCUGGACUUGACCAAGAGCUUAAAUGACCACGGACUGAGGGAGGUGUUCGCCGAAGACAAAGCGGCCAAGGACGCCACCGAUUAUCAGCUCAGGACAGCUGAAACAGCUGUCACACCCACAGAAGUCCUCUCACGUCCACUGCAAGAUGUGCCAAAAAAGGCCAAGAAGCAAAAGAGCCGAGGCUUCUUCAGCAUCUUCAGGAGGAGGAGGAAACCUGAAAC